UGUAACUUGCGUUAAUUUUAUUAAAAAAUGGUUUGGAAAUAGCAAAGUGCUACUUGUACUUAUUGCCCUAUAACUUGCAAAAAAAAAGCUAAGAACAUGUUAACAUUGGUUAUUUCUAAACUCAGGAUAAAAUUUAGAAACUAUUUAUGAGUGUUUUUUGGUGGUUGUAGAUGCGUAACAGAUUUUGGGGAUAAAAUUUAGAAAAAGUGGUUUGUUUUUUUUUCAUCAUUAGAAUUGUUUU